rnacentral:rRNA from 1 species
UGGGGAAUAUUGCACAAUGGGCGCAAGCCUGAUGCAGCCAUGCCUCGUGUAUGAAGAAGGCCUUCGGGUUGUAAAGUACUUUCAGCGGGGUGGAAGGGAGUAAAGUUAAUACCUUUGCUCAUUGCCGUUACCCGCAGAAGAAGCACCGGCUAACUCCGUGCCAGCAGCCGCGGUAAUACGGAGGGUGCAAGCGUUAAUCGGAAUUACUGGGAGUAAGGCGCACGCAGGCGGUUUGUUAAGUCAGAUGUGAAAUCCCCGGGCUAAAACUGGGAACUGCAUCGGAUACUGGCAAGCUUGAGUCUCGUAGAGGGGGGUAGAAUUCCAGGUGUAGCGGUGAAAGGCGUAGAGAUCUGGAGGAAUACCGGUGGCGAAGGCGGCCCCCUGGACGAAGACUGACGCUCAGGUGCGAAAGAGUGGGGAGCAAACAGG